rnacentral:lncRNA from 10 species
GUGCUUUGCUGAGCGUCCUUCUCACGCUCCAGCAGGCCUAGGACAUAUGCCAGGCAGGAGCCACCACUCUCUCCAGAAGCCAGCAUCCAGCUGCUCCUGCUCGGACCUCUCAUUCUGGUUGGGGGUUCCUCACCAGCCAGUCCAGAAUAUUCCAGGGGAAGCCAGCAGCCAUGUCAGGAGAGCACUCAAGCAGCACUACUACAAGUCCACAGGAUGAGGAAUUAGGCAAAGAGCCCACGCCCUGUGAGUGAGCCACCAGGAGUUCAUCCUUCAGAUCUAAUCAAGCCCUCAGUUGUCCACAGCCCCAGGUACCAUCUCUGGUGCAGCCCCACCAGAGUCCCUGAGUCAGAAGAACCCAGCUAAGCCACUCCCAAGCUCCUGAUCCUCAGAAGCUG